rnacentral:lncRNA from 1 species
ACCCACUGAGUGCAUAAAUGCGUGUAUACACGGAACAAGCUAAACUGCACUAAGAUCAUAUAAUAGCAUAACAUACAAAAAAUGACAAAGAAAAGAUAGGAUAGAUACAACAAGUAGCAGCACCUACAAAAGCACGCUGCAACAUGGCAUUUUAUUUAAACACUACAAUAAUUGUUAAUAGCCACUUCCUCAGUUGAUAGCUGCUGGUGGGAUGUGUGGAGGGUCAGGCUUUGGUUUGGGCUCGGGCUUAGGUUCUGGCUGUGGUUUUGGUUCGGGCUUAGGUUCUGGUUUUGGUUGGGGCUCUGGUUUUGGUUCGGGUUUAGGCUCUGGUUUUGGAUCAGGCUUAGGCUCUGGCUUUGGUUGUGGCUCCGGUUCUGGUUUCGGUUUUGGUUCAGGUUUAGGCUCUGGCUUUGGUUCUGGUUCUGGUCUUGGUUCGGGUUUAGGCUCAGGCUUUGGCUCUGGUUUUGGUUCGGGCUUAGGCUCUGGCUUUGGCUCUGGUUUUGGUUCUGGCUUAGGCUCUGGCUUUGGUUGUGGCUCUGGCUUUGGAUCUGGUUUCGGUUUCGGCUCAGGCUUUGGCUCUGGCUUAGGUUCUGGCCUUGGUUCGGGUUUAGGCUCAGGCUUUGGCUCUGGUUUUGGUUCGGGCUUAGGCUCUGGCUUUGGCUCUGGUUUUGGUUCUGGUUUAGGCUCAGGCUUUGGUUGUGGCUCUGGCUUUGGUUCUGGUUUCGGCUCAGGCUUAGGCUCUGGCUUAGGUUGGGGCUCUGGCUUUGGCUCCGGUUUCGGUUCGGGUUUAGGCUCUGGCUUAGGCUCUGGUUUUGGUUGUGGCUCUGGCUUUGGCUCUGGUUUCGGUUUGGGUUUAGGCUCUGGCUUUGGCUCAGGUUUAUGCUCUGGCUUAGGCUCUGGUUUUGGUUCAGGUUUUGGCUUUGGUUUUAUUUUAGGUUCGGGCUUAGGCUCUGGCUUAGGUUCGGGCUUAGGUUCAGGCUUCGGUGUAGGCAAUGGCUCUGGUUUGGAUUUUGGUUGAGGCUUGGGCAUUGGUUGAG